UCUUCUCUGGUAUAUCGGUAGAACAUCACCCUGUCAUUUAGGUCCGACUCCCAGGAGGAGGGCAUAAAAUAGGCGCCGGUGAAGAGCUGGGUUCGACUCCCAGGAGGAGAG